UUUACAUUAAAUGUGUAGGAAGUUUGAAAUUAUAUAUCACAGUUUAUAUCACUGAAUAUACAGUACCGCCACCUUCAUGUGAAAAUAGGAAACAUCUCUGAGAUAAGUGGGUAUGAGAUAAUCUUUAUCGUGAACCGUAAUGAUUAGCAUGUUGCCUACUUAAAGGCGAAUAAAAAAAAUCGAGUUCAAAAAUGGUAAGUGCUGGUAUUUCCCCCACCCAAAUUAAUAUUGCGCAGUGGGAUACUGUAUGACCAGCGGAAAAUAAAAUCUUUUGUAAUAAAUCUCUCUCCAGGACUGACCAAUAAAAAAAUACUUAUUGUGUGGAAAUACAAUACGAGGUAUAAAUUGCGCAUUAAAUUAGAAGCUCAAACCAACUUGUCUCGUGCGCCAUCGUUCUUUCUGGUGGAGUUUUCAAAUCGUUCAGACGUAUAAAAUCUGUUUGAAGUUUUUAUUAAGAGUUUUUCCAUAUUAAAUCGUGUUCAAGAUAUAUUCUAAAUUCGGAUAAAUUUGGUGAGUUGGUGAGAAAAGCUUGCAAAAGCUUAGAAUAAUUUGAAUUGUGAAUUAUAGAAAGAAAGUACUCAGGUCUAGCCCAACGUGGGCGGUUUAUCCGGGGUGUUAUCCUGGGUGGAUUUUCCGGACCCGAGAGCCAAGACAAUCACCAUUUUGGUAAUUCGAGCAACCGUCUACCAACCGAUUGAUUAGCCACGUGCUCAACCCUAGAGAGGAUAAACAACUCUAGUUCGUCGCGCCAAGACUUGUGGCAAUCGAGUAACGAACAAACUGCUCGAUUCUCCACCACGACUGGGGACAUCUUCACCCCAUAAGAAGCCACACGCACGAUUUCGUCAUAGGGCAUCCUCAUCUAGCUGGUUCGUCGCAUAUACGUCUCCGCUGUUGACACUACUCGAGACAUCCGACGUGGGAGCAGUCUUUGCGUCGAAAAAUCAGGUCAGACCUUUGUAGUGUGUACGAUUGCGCAACGUACUAAAUAGAUUAGCUCGAAUUUUCAAAUUAUCGCUCAAAAGUGACGUCACACGGUCCGUAGCCAGGUUUGUCUGAGAAUAAAUGGAAAGCCUUGGAAUCAUUAGAAUAUUAAAAAAUUGUAAAGCUCAUUAAAUUUGCUUUCUAUUCAAAAACUAGUUUUAACGAAAUUUGAUGAUUAGUAAUAAAUUACUUCGAGUUUAGAGAAU